UACGAAGGGGGCUAGCGUUGUUCGGAUUUACUGGGCGUAAAGCGCACGUAGGCGGAUAGUUAAGUGAGGGGUGAAAUCCCAGGGCUCAACCCUGGAACUGCCUUUCAUACUGGCGAUCUAGAGUCCGGAAGAGGUGAGUGGAACUCCUAGUGUAGAGGUGGAAUUCGUAGAUAUUAGGAAGAACACCAGUGGCGAAGGCGGCUCGCUGGUCCGGUACUGACGCUGAGGUGCGAAAGCGUGGGGAGCAAACAGG
rnacentral:rRNA from 1 species